rnacentral:rRNA from 1 species
GUGGGGAAUAUUGGACAAUGGGCGAAAGCCUGAUCCAGCCAUGCCGCGUGUGUGAAGAAGGUCUUCGGAUUGUAAAGCACUUUAAGUUGGGAUGAAGGGCAGUAAGUUAAUACCUUGCUGUUUUGACGUUACCGACAGAAUAAGCACCGGCUAACUUCGUGCCAGCAGCCGCGGUAAUACGAAGGGUGCAAGCGUUAAUCGGAAUUACUGGGCGUAAAGCGCGCGGAGGUGGUUUUGUAAGUUGGAGGUGAAAUCCCCGGGCUCAACCUGGGAACUGCCUCCAAAACUGCAUGACUAGAGUACGGUAGAGGGUAGUGGAAUUUCCUGUGUAGCGGUGAAAUGCGUAGAUAUAGGAAGGAACACCAGUGGCGAAGGCGACUACCUGGACUGAUACUGACACUGAGGUGCGAAAGCGUGGGGAGCAAACAGGAUUAGAAACCCGAGUAGUCC